UACGGAGGGGGCUAGCGUUGUUCGGAAUUACUGGGCGUAAAGCGCGCGUAGGCGGACCUGCAAGUCGGGGGUGAAAGCCCGAGGCUCAACCUCGGAACUGCCUUCGAUACUGCGGGUCUCGAGUCCGGGAGAGGUGAGUGGAAUUCCUAGUGUAGAGGUGAAAUUCGUAGAUAUUAGGAAGAACACCGGUGGCGAAGGCGGCAUCCUGGACCAACACUGACGCUGAGGAGCGAAAGCCAGGGGAGCAAACGGG
rnacentral:rRNA from 1 species